rnacentral:tmRNA from 1 species
GGGGGUGUUCUGGAUUCGACGGGAUGAGUAACACCGUAGGUUGCAUGUCGAGAAAUUCCAAUGAAUCUCGUAAAUCAUUCAUUAUGGAAACCAAAAUAAUUGACAACAAUUAUUCUUACCGCUUAGCAGCAUAAACUGCCUAGCCGUUCCUCUGGUUAAGUGCCUAUCAUUGCCAGACUGAACGUCAUACCAGAUAGGAUAGCGUAAUAGGGUUUCCUGUCUUCAUUGCGCGAAAAUUCACAGGAUAGUCUGUUGUCGCUUGGUUACUAGGCUCGGCUUCAGGCGAAUUUAAAGUAGUAACUAAACAUGUAGACGCUUGCAGGUUUACCUUUUCGGACCGGGGUUCGACUCCCCGCACCUCCACCA